AACAGACAAGGAGCUUGCUCCUUUGACGUUAGCGGCGGACGGGUGAGUAACACGUGGGUAACCUACCUAUAAGACUGGGAUAACUUCGGGAAACCGGAGCUAAUACCGGAUAAUAUUUCGAACCGCAUGGUUCGAUAGUGAAAGAUGGUUUUGCUAUCACUUAUAGAUGGACCCGCGCCGUAUUAGCUAGUUGGUAAGGUAACGGCUUACCAAGGCGACGAUACGUAGCCGACCUGAGAGGGUGAUCGGCCACACUGGAACUGAGACACGGUCCAGACUCCUACGGGAGGCAGCAGUAGGGAAUCUUCCGCAAUGGGCGAAAGCCUGACGGAGCAACGCCGCGUGAGUGAUGAAGGUCUUCGGAUCGUAAAACUCUGUUAUUAGGGAAGAACAUACGUGUAAGUAACUAUGCACGUCUUGACGGUACCUAAUCAGAAAGCCACGGCUAACUACGUGCCAGCAGCCGCGGUAAUACGUAGGUGGCAAGCGUUAUCCGGAAUUAUUGGGCGUAAAGCGCGCGUAGGCGGUUUUUUAAGUCUGAUGUGAAAGCCCACGGCUCAACCGUGGAGGGUCAUUGGAAACUGGAAAACUUGAGUGCAG
rnacentral:rRNA from 1 species